AGUGAACGCUGGCGGUAGGCCUAACACAUGCAAGUCGAACGGCAGCACAGUAAGAGCUUGCUCUUACGGGUGGCGAGUGGCGGACGGGUGAGGAAUACAUCGGAAUCUACUUUUUCGUGGGGGAUAACGUAGGGAAACUUACGCUAAUACCGCAUACGACCUACGGGUGAAAGCAGGGGAUCUUCGGACCUUGCGCGAUUGAAUGAGCCGAUGUCGGAUUAGCUAGUUGGCGGGGUAAAGGCCCACCAAGGCGACGAUCCGUAGCUGGUCUGAGAGGAUGGUCCGCCACACUGGAACUUGGACACCGUCCAGACUCCUACGGGAGGCAGCAGUGGGGAAUAUUGGACAAUGGGCGCAAGCCUGAUCCAGCCAUACCGCGUGGGUGAAGAAGGCCUUCGGGUUGUAAAGCCCUUUUGUUGGGAAAGAAAAGCAGCAGGUUAAUACCCCGCUGUUCUGACGGUACCCAAAGAAUAAGCACCGGCUAACUUCGUG
rnacentral:rRNA from 1 species